UUGAAAAGUUCUCACCAAUUGAACUCCUGAAUCAGUUGGUACCUAUUUGCAAGGCUUUACUAUUUCCUUUAUCCUUAUUUUUUUCCAGGUCUGGACGUAUUCAACUUGGGAACGGCUAGGAAUACUCAGACGCAGAAGGCGAUAUUCUGACAAAAUCGAUCACACAGCCACAAAGUGAAAAACGUCUUCCUUUAGUUUUGAGUUGCAUAAGGAGCAUUAAUUAGCAUUAGAUUUACAGGGUACAAAAUCGAGGUAUACUUGCUCGCAACGCAUUUUUAAGAACCAUCGCAUCUCGCAGAGACUUAAAAGCUGUAGUUGUUAGCUGUUUCGAAAUCACAAAUCAAAUUUGGGCGAAUCGUCCCUCUUUCGGGACACCCGAUCCGUCUCGUAAAUCCCGCUAACGCGGCUGGUAAAGGCAAGGUCUCCGAAUCUUGAAAACAUCGCCUGGGGUCAAAGGACAUAAAGCAGCCGUACAGGAGGCGGAGGGUGUUGGCAUGUCUGAAUUCUUGCCACCUCGGCUGGAAAUGGCCCGUAUUAGUCUUCGUCGAAGAAAGCUCAGGACACCCAAAACUAGCAUCACGACGAACCCUCCUCGCCGACUGAAGAGACGAUGGUCGCCAGGUCUCCUAUGCAGUGACGGUGAAAGUGAUAAUGACUCAAGUAUUAAUUAACAGGCAACAUUUACCUUCAUUGGAGUACUAAAAAUGGAUAUUUUCUCCACUCUUGUUUUUAAUUUUGUAUACAUUUCCUACCUCAUUGUUACAUGUUACCGAAUUGAAGUUACUUGUAUGUACUGCAAAUUGGAAAAAAAUGGAUUAUGUAGAAGAAAAUGAAUAUAUCGGGUUGGUGAAAAU